ACUCCCUCUGUUCCUAAAUACUUGUUGUUGGGGAGAACUAGACUAGUUUUCUGCAACAACAAGUAUUGUGGUACGGAGGGAGU
rnacentral:pre_miRNA from 1 species